rnacentral:rRNA from 1 species
CAUCCUACGGGGGGCAGCAGGAGGGAAUUUUCGUCAAUGGGCGCAAGCCUGAACGAGCAAUGCCGCGUGAACGAGGAAGGUCUUCGGAUCGUAAAGUUCUGUUGAAGGGGAAAAAGAGCGGAGAGAGGAAAUGCUUUCUGAUUGAUAUUACCCUUCGAGGAAGUCACGGCUAACUACGUGCCAGCAGCCGCGGUAAUACGUAGGUGGCGAGCGUUAUCCGGAAUGAUUGGGCGUAAAGGGUGCGUAGGCGGCUUGCUACGUCUGGAGUGAAAGGCACCGGACCAACCGGUACAGGCUCU